rnacentral:rRNA from 1 species
GAACGCUGGCGGCGUGCCUAACACAUGCAAGUCGAACGGAGAUUAGACGCUGACGAGACUUCGGUCAAAUCUUGUUAAUCUUAGUGGCGGACGGGUGAGUAACGCGUGGGCAACCUGCCUCAUACUGGGGGAUAGCAGUUGGAAACGACUGAUAAUACCGCAUAAGCGCACAGAGUCGCAUGACUCAGUGUGAAAGACUCCGGUGGUAUGAGAUGGGCCCGCGUCAGAUUAGCUAGUUGGUAAGGUAGCGGCUUACCAAGGCGACGAUCUGUAGCCGGACUGAGAGGUCGGACGGCCACAUUGGGACUGAGACACGGCCCAAACUCCUACGGGAGGCAGCAGUGGGGGAUAUUGCACAAUGGAGGAAACUCUGAUGCAGCGACGCCGCGUGAGUGAAGAAGUAUUUCGGUAUGUAAAGCUCUAUCAGCAGGGAAGAAAGACUCGCAAGAGAGAUGACGGUACCUGACUAAGAAGCCCCGGCUAACUACGUGCCAGCCGCCGC